GUGAGGUAGUGGCUCACCAAGGCGACGACGGGUAGCCGGCCUGAGAGGGCGACCGGCCACACUGGGACUGAGACACGGCCCAGACUCCUACGGGAGGCAGCAGUGGGGAAUAUUGCACAAUGGGCGCAAGCCUGAUGCAGCGACGCCGCGUGAGGGAUGACGGCCUUCGGGUUGUAAACCUCUUUCAGCAGGGAAGAAGCCCUUAUCGGUGACGGUACCUGCAGAAGAAGCACCGGCUAACUACGUGCCAGCAGCCGCGGUAAUACGUAGGGUGCGAGCGUUGUCCGGAAUUAUUGGGCGUAAAGAGCUCGUAGGCGGCGUGUCGCGUCGGUUGUGAAAGCCCACGGCUUAACCGUGGGUCUGCAGUCGAUACGGGCAGGCUAGAGUGUGGUAGGGGAGAUCGGAAUUCCUGGUGUAGCGGUGAAAUGCGCAGAUAUCAGGAGGAACACCGGUGGCGAAGGCGGAUCUCUGGGCCAUUACUGACGCUGAGGAGCGAAAGCGUGGGGAGCGAACAGGAUUAGAUACCCUGGUAGUCCACGCCGUAAACGUUGGGAACUAGGUGUUGGCGACAUUCCACGUCGUCGGUGCCGCAGCUAACGCAUUAAGUU
rnacentral:rRNA from 1 species